rnacentral:sRNA from 1 species
UAACAUCGUGUAGGAGAGGUGGAACCC